AUAGUUAAAUACACAUACACACACACACACAUAUAUAUUCAUCCAUUUCACUUAGAUUGUCAGAUUUAUUGGCACAUGAUUGGGCAAAAUAGGUCCUUAUAUUUAAUUAAAUUUCAUCUUUAUUGGUGGAAAAUUUAUCCUUUUUUUUUUUUUUUUUUUUUUUUUUACUUUUGAUACUGGCAUUUAAAAAAAAUCAAAUUAACUAAUGUCUUAUCUGUCUUACUUCAAUGGUUUUCUUACUUUCACUUUUCUUUAUCUCUCCUUUGAUUUUCAGGAUUUCCAAAUUAAUAUUCAUUUGGGGAUUUUUAAAUUUAUUCUUUAUCUAGGUUUGUUUGUUUUGUGUUCAUUAACUACAUGCCCAGUUUAUUGAUAUACUCUAUAAUUCUUUUUUUUUUUUUUUUGGGGGGGGGGAAGCAGUAGAUAGAAAGUUUAGUCUGGAGUCCAAAGAUCUGAGUUGAAUUUCACUUUCAGUCACUUACUACCUAUAUAAACCUGAACAUAAUACUUAACUUCUCAGGUUUCUUAACUUUAAAACAGAGAUAAUAACUACAUCUACAUCUUAGGAUGGCUAUGAGGAUCAUAGGCGACAUUAUUUAUAAAGUGCUAAGCGAAGCACUUGACACAUGGAAGCACAUAUUAAGUCCUUGUUCCCUACAUCCUUUCUUCUUUUCCUCUUCUCAGCCUUGUGAAAUCUGGCUUCUAAUCUUACAUAAAAUUAAAAUAUUCACUACAAGUUUAGCAAUAAUCUGUAAGGUGCUAAAUUGAAUGUUUUACUCAUUCCUCUGUAGCUUUAGGCACUAUUGAUCACCUUUUGGUCCUCCCCUCACCUGGGAUUUUGACACCAAAUUAUUUUUUUUCUUCCUGUUUUACCACUCCUUUUCAGUCAUUCUCAUUUUCUGGAUCGUUAUCCAUGCCUUGCUUCCUAAACACUGGCAUCCACCAAGGCUCCAGCAUGUGAUUUGUCCUUUUCUUUUUCUAUAGCUUCUCUCUUCAUGAUGUCCUCAGCUUCCACAGAUUUUGUUAGCACCUUUACAAAGAUGUAUCUGCUGAACUCCAGUCCUACAUCAACUGUCUUUGCAGCAUCACCUGUUCCUGAGAAUUGCAAGACUCCAUAUGAGGCAACUAGAGGCUGUUUUAAAGAGAGCUCCAGCUGGAGGCGAGACCCAGAGGAAAAAUAAAGCCUUCGGCUAAAGACUUCAUCUCUUGACUUUGAAGACUGGCUUUCUUAUUUCUUAUCUUCAAGUAUCCAUUGUGGCUUUAAUCAUAGGCAGCAUUUAUAUAGGUAGUAUUUCAAGAUUUGCGACCCACUUUACUUAUAUUAUCUCAUUUGAUCCUUAGAGCAAACUUCUGAGCUAGGUGCUAUUAUUAGCAUCAUUUUAGAGAUAAGAAAACUGAACCGAGAGAGGUGCAUGAAUUGCCCAUGAUUAUUCAGCUAGUUAGCAUCAGAAGCAGGUUUUGAACUUACAUCUUUCCAAUUUCUAGACCAGCACUGUCUGCUGGACUGUCUACAGGAUAUAUGUAAACAGGAUUUUUCUUUACAAAACACUUUUCCUUUGCAGAGACUUUCUAAUAGACACCAUAUCUAAGGAAGUAUCUUUGUUAUCAUCUCCAUUUGGCAGGAAGAAAUUGAGAUUUGACAUCAAAUGUCACACAAAGGGAAGUUGAAAGGAGGCUCAAGCCAGCAGAAGCAAUGGCAACAAAAAUCCAUGCUGGUCAGGAUAGAAGGACCUGUCUUUUUCGGGGAAAUCCUGGGCCCUCAGUCAGAAAGAUUACAUCCACUCAUUUGACUCCAACUCAACAACUCUCUUCUUAAAAACAAACAAACAAACAAAAAACCCAAAAAUUAUCAUUUCCAUUCUCCAAAUAAAAAUAAAAUGAAACAAAAACAAGAUUUGUCCUGUUUGAAAUACCCAUCUUCUCCCCAAACACACAC